rnacentral:lncRNA from 1 species
GGUGGGUUUAGGAUUUAGAGUUUAGAGUUUAGAGUUUUAGGGUUUAGUGUUUUUAUUUAGAGUUUAGGAUUUAUCCAAGGGUUUAGGGUUUAGAGUUUACCCAAGAGUUUAGGGUUUAGAGUUUACCCAAGAGUUUAGGGUUUAUCCAAAGGUUUAAGGUUUAGGAUGUAGGGUUUAGGGAUUAGGAUUUAGGGUUUAGUGUUUUGCUGACGACGUUAAAAAAAAAAUUU